rnacentral:rRNA from 1 species
AGUCGAACGAUGAAGUUCCUUCGGGGAUGGAUUAGUGGCGAACGGGUGAGGAACACGUGAAGAGUCUGCCCUCCACUUUGGGAUAACCCCGGGAAACCGGUGCUAAUACCGAAUAUUGAAAUAUAAGUGGCAUCACUGAAUUUUGAAAGAAUUUCGGUGGAGGAUGACUUCGCGGCCUAUCAGCUUGUUGGUGAGGUAAAGGCUCACCAAGGCGACGACGGGUAUCCGGCCUGAGAGGGCGACCGGACACACUGGGACUGAGACACGGCCCAGACUCCUACGGGAGGCAGCAGUGGGGAAUAUUGGGCAAUGGACGAAAGUCUGACCCAGCGACGCCGCGUGAGGGAUGAAGGCCUUCGGGUUGUAAACCUCUUUCAGUAGGGAAGAAGCGAAAGUGACGGUACCUAAAGAAGAAGCACCGGCUAACUAUGUGCCAGCAGCCGCGGUAAUACAUAGGGUGCAAGCGUUGUCCGGAAUUAUUGGGCGUAAAGAGCUCGUAGGUGGUUUGUUGCGUCGGGUGUGAAAUUCAGGGGCUCAACCCCUGACCUGCACUCGAUACGGGCAGACUAGAGCUUGGUAGGGGAGACUGGAAUUCCUGGUGUAGCGGUGGAAUGCGCAGAUAUCAGGAGGAACACCAAUGGCGAAGGCAGGUCUCUGGGCCAAUACUGACACUGAGGAGCGAAAGCGCGGGGAGCGAACAGGAUUAGAUACCCUGGUAGUCCGCGCCGUAAACG